rnacentral:rRNA from 1 species
GAUUUGACCAAUCGGUCCACUUUUGUGAGUACUGUUUGUGUCGGAUCUAUCCUUCUGGUGAGCUGGUAUGCCCUUUACUGGGUGUGUCAGGGAACCAGGACCAUUACCUUGAAAAAAUUAGAGUGUUUAAAGCGGGCAUAAGCUUGAAUAGAUUAGCAUGGAAUAAUAGAAUAGGACGUUGUGGUUCUAUUUUGUUGGUUCUAGGACCACCGUA